GACGAAUUUAUACAGACGUAAGAGUGCGGUGCAAACCGCCUAAAAUUUUCGGUACCAUGUUUUCUUCUUCUUGUUGGGCAGCUUUUUUUCGAGGGGGCUAGUUAUUACCAUUUUGCGGUAGUUUUUUACGCAUUGGUUUACCCCUCUCACAAGCUUUUGACAGUUUUUCGCCGAUUUCGCCGCACAACAAAAGACUUGUUUUGUUUACCUUUUUUGAUGGUGCGUGGUCCGCUAAUCGCUCUUCGGUGGAUGAGAAUCCGAUCCGGUGCCGCGGUUCUGGGAGGACGGCCAGAGGGACAUAAAUGUCAUAACGUGUUAUCACCGGAUGUGCACACAAGGGCCAGCGAAUACCUCCCGGUGAUUGUUAAAGAUCAAUGAUAAUGGGCAAACUCUUCGGUGUAUCCGUGGUAGAAGAAGUCAUCCAAUCACCUGCGGUAUUGGAGGAUAUUGUAGAAGCACCGGCUGAACCACCUAGAACGAUUGUUCCGGUAAGCUCGCCUUUCGCAGUGGAUGCCACCCAAGAUGCCACCGGUAGCGAUUCUGCUGAAUUCCACUCCGGACAAUAAUCGUGGUGCGCUUUCAAUGCCAAGACACCUCACUGACCAUGUAUGGUGAGUCUUGAACCGGAAUGUGAUCAAAUCAGGAACUCAUCCCACAAAAAAACGCAUGUUGCACGUGAAGUUCUUCACUGAUAACGGUUGCCGGGCGUGGAUUACGGAAACGAUAAGACUCCCCUACAACACCGUUCAACAUUACAAAUCACUCGUGAUACUCAGUUUUAAUCGAUUCGCAACAAGUUUAUCCAGAUGUAGCAUCAUGAAAUAUGGCAGGAGGCGGUUCGUCAAGCAGAUGACACCCAGUAACUUCCAUCGGAGGUCCGUGAGGUCCGUGAAAAUCGCUUCCAGGAGUUGCUGUAUGCAGAUCGUGCUUAACCGAAGCUACCCGAUUGACGACGGACCAAAGGCGUUUCUCUCGGCUAUCACAGGACGAGUCGUACGAAUCUGGCGCCCGAAAGCGACACCGUUCCCGCACCCCAGAGAGUCCCGCCUACGAGCCGCUUCCAAUUUCUCCAACAGCACCGAAACGACCUGGCGGAAACGGCCAGUGGCACCACCAGCGAGGAUAUCACCGAAAUGGUAGAAUUCGACAAGAAAAUUUACACCAGCUUCCUGAACAUUACGCGCGAAGGUCAAACGGAAACCGAAUUGGACAAAAAGCUACAGAAGAUAUGUGUGCCCUAUGGAUGCAUGCCAUUGCUAAUGGUGUCAGAUUGGCCAGCCGUCUACGCUCACAGGCUUUACGGCGGUUGGAACGGGAAUUUGGAAUCGACGAGGUCAAGAAGGUACUUCCGUCGACCAUCGUUUGUCAGCAGCCCUAUCUGGAGGAUCGUUGCCGAUUCGAUGUCAAUGCCUUGUGAUAGUAAAUACAUGUAUCUAAAUAAAAAUACUUAGGUGGGUGGGGCGUUUAUGUGGCCUCUAUAAUCCAUCCGAAAAGUCUCCAGGAUUCUGAACAAGACAACCUAUACAUCUAAGGGUUCUACAAUAGUGAUCUGAAUUUGUCGCUAAGAAGUGUCACCAUGUUCUCUCAGAAUGCGAUGCAGAACACUUGAAACUUAUGGAGUUACUCCAGUGGUCCUUGAAACAGUCUUCCACUAGAUUUUUAUUUGACUCAGAAGGUUCACCACUUCCUCCCAAAUUGCAUGGUGAUGCAAGACAUCAUGCUUCACUCAAAGAAGCUUUGUUCAGGCUAGGUUCACCAAGUCCUCCUAAAAUGCAUGGUGAUGCAAGACA